GUAGUCUUAGAAAAAAAUUAUCAGUGAUGAGUAUGGUCGUAAGUAAUCCUCACACCCAACUACUAGCAGAAUUUUAAUACAUUACUCAUCAAAGUAGCGCAGUGGAAGCGUGAUGAACCACAAUCAUCUCACCUAGGUGAUUUUUCUCUUUAAACCAAAAAGAGUAAAUAGAUGAUGUGAGAAAAUGGUGACUCGUAUCUUAAGGCCAUACUUAAGAUGAUCUUGAGAACUUGUAGCAUACUUGCAAGAAAUAGAAUUAAAAGUAAUUGCUUGCAGCAAAAUUAAUGGUUAAAUAUGCUACUAAAAGAAUUUCUAAUCACCCUAAAAAAUAAUCGUCAAUUCUGUAACUC
rnacentral:lncRNA from 1 species